GACUCGAACUGAAAUGAACAAGGCGCGGCCAAGAGCCCCUUCCUUCACACGUGUAGACAAAGGGACCCAUCAACACAACCCAAACAUGCAGGGAAAAGUUUUCCCGUGCGCGCGACUCCACGCCAGGACCUCGCGAGGCGCUCAGGCCAGCAUGCACGGGACUUUCAGCAGACGCCCUCUGAAGGAUUUAAUAAAUUAUCAUUUUUCGGUGUGGAAUAUUUUUACUUUCCUUCUGGAUUAUUGGAUAUUCACAAUGAGAAUUACUUUCAUCGUAGCAUUAGACACCAUGGACAAACAUAAGCAAGUGUGGAGCUGGACAGCGCACAGUUUCCGCGGGAAACACGCAGAGCCGCACUGCAGCCCUCUUCUUUACCGGAUGAAAGUGUGGGAUGAGUCACCCCUUCAUCUUCCUCUAACUCUUCACCAGAGUCCAGGAUCGAGUGAGCUCAGACUGCGUCGGAAGCAGCCAAGCAUCCCGCGCACGGCGUCUCUCUGCUAUGAUGUCAUUAGCAGCCAAUCAAACGCGAGCGGGAAUCGUACGAGCCAAUGGCACGCCAGGCGGCCCCGCCCACCGCACGCGCUGUCCAUGUUGGAAAUGAAGUAAUGCAGAGAAAAGCAGCCAGAAGUACACCAAGGUCUGGUGUGUGCUGCAGUCUCAGAGGACUCAGAGGACAGGUUCACCUGCUGGGAGGAUGACACCAGACUGAGAGGACAUGGCUUUACAGAUCAAACACUGAAAUCAAGUGCUCAGAGUUUCAUUCACACUUAACACUUAACACAAGCGUUUAGAGGAGAUCUCACUCUGUUCUUCUGUUCUCUAACCUGUUCCUUUCAUCCGCAUUAUUGAGUAUCAGAGGAGUCUGAUGUCAGUGUGCAGGUGUAGAAAGAUCCCUCUUCUGUCUCUCGUUCUCAGUUCAGUCUCUUCUGCGUAUGAAUGUGAAGCUGAGCUGACAGUGCACCUCGGCUCUCACAGCUCCAGUGUAUCUGUCCCAACACUACCCUUCUGAUCACAACGGCCAAAUGCUCAUGUCUGAUUGUGGCUUUGCUUUUGGCCAUUAUUGCAUUUUUAUUAUGAAAGUUAAAAAUAAAACAAAACAAAUCAGUGAAUGAUUCAGUGGCAGGUUUACAUGAAAAUACUCAAAUUGACCAAGUCAGAUUUCUCCUGAUUCGUCUGUUUCUGAUGUGAUUCAUCUGAAGCUGCAGUCUGCUGUCAGACAUCAUCAUUUGCUGGAUCUUUAUUAAAAACCACACAAAUGUCAAAUCUUCUGCUCUGACUGUUGGACGAAUAUGUGACCCUGGAGCUUGGGUAUAUUUUUAGAAACA